CUGGCGGCGUGCUUAACACAUGCAAGUCGAACGAUGAAGCUUCUAGCUUGCUGGGGGUGGAUUAGUGGCGAACGGGUGAGUAACACGUGAGUAACCUGCCCUCUUCUUCGGGAUAAACUUGGGAAACUGGGUCUAAUACCGGAUAUUCAACUUCUGUCGCAUGGUGGUUGUUGGAAAGAUUUAUCGGAGGGGGAUGGGCUCGCGGCCUAUCAGCUUGUUGGUGGGGUAGUGGCCUACCAAGGCGUCGACGGGUAGCCGGCCUGAGAGGGUGACCGGCCACACUGGGACUGAGAUACGGCCCAGACUCCUACGGGAGGCAGCAGUGGGGAAUAUUGCACAAUGAGCGAAAGCUUGAUGCAGCGACGCCGCGUGAGGGAUGACGGCUUUCGGGUUGUAAACCUCUUUCGGUAGGGAACAAGGCCAUGUUUUUGCAUGGUUGAGGGUACCUGCAUAAGAAGCGCCGGCUAACUACGUGCCAGCAGCCGCGGUAAUACGUAGGGCGCGAGCGUUGUCCGGAAUUAUUGGGCGUAAAGAGCCCGUAGGCGGCUUGUCACGUCUGCUGUGAAAACGCGGGGCUUAACUCCGCGCUUGCAGUGGGUACGGGCAGGCUUGAGUAUAGUAGGGGAGACUGGAAUUCCUGGUGUAGCGGUGGAAUGCGCAGAUAUCAGGAGGAACACCGAUGGCGAAGGCAGGUCUCUGGGCUAUAACUGACGCUGAGGAGCGAAAGCAUGGGGAGCGAACAGGAUUAGAUACCCUGGUAGUCCAUGCCGUAAACGGUGGGCACUAGGUGUGGGGACCUUUGGUUUCUGCGCCGUAGCUAACGCAUUAAGUGCCCCGCCUGGGGAGUACGGCCGCAAGGCUAAAACUCAAAGGAAUUGACGG
rnacentral:rRNA from 1 species